UAGGGAAUCUUCGGCAAUGGGGGGAACCCUGACCGAGCAACGCCGCGUGAGUGAAGAAGGUUUUCGGAUCGUAAAGCUCUGUUGUAAGUCAAGAACGGGUGUGAGAGUGGAAAGUUCACACUGUGACGGUAGCUUACCAGAAAGGGACGGCUAACUACGUGCCAGCAGCCGCGGUAAUACGUAGGUCCCGAGCGUUGUCCGGAUUUAUUGGGCGUAAAGCGAGCGCAGGCGGUUUGAUAAGUCUGAAGUUAAGGCU
rnacentral:rRNA from 1 species